AUUGAACGCUGGCGGCAGGCCUAACACAUGCAAGUCGAACGAGUGGCGGACGGGUGAGUAAUGUCUGGGAAACUGCCUGAUGGAGGGGGAUAACUACUGGUAACGGUAGCUAAUACCGCAUACCAUCGGAUGUGCCCAGAUGGGAUUAGCUAGGAGGUGGGGUAAAGGCUCACCUAGGCGACGAUCCCUAGCUGGUCUGAGAGGAUGACCAGCCACACUGGAACUGAGACAAGGUCCGGACUACUACCGGAGGCAGCAGUGGGGAAUAUUGUACAAUGGACGCAGGCCUAAUGCAACCAUGCCGCGUGUAUGAAGAAGGCCUUCGGGUUGUAAAGUACUUUCAGCGGGGAGGCGUUACCCGCAGAAGAAGCACCGGCUAACUCCGUGCCAGCCGCCGCGGUAAUUC
rnacentral:rRNA from 1 species